GAUGAACGCUGGCGGCGUGCCUAAUACAUGCAAGUCGAGCGAACAGACGAGGAGCUUGCUCCUCUGACGUUAGCGGCGGACGGGUGAGUAACACGUGGAUAACCUACCUAUAAGACUGGGAUAACUUCGGGAAACCGGAGCUAAUACCGGAUAAUAUAUUGAACCGCAUGGGUCAAUAGUGAAAGACGGUUUUGCUGUCACUUAUAGAUGGAUCCGCGCCGCAUUAGCUAGUUGGUAAGGUAACGGCUUACCAAGGCAACGAUGCGUAGCCGACCUGAGAGGGUGAUCGGCCACACUGGAACUGAGACACGGUCCAGACUCCUACGGGAGGCAGCAGUAGGGAUUCUUCCGCAAUGGGCGAAAGCCUGCCGGAGCAACGCCGCGUGAGUGAUGAAGGUCUUCGGAUCGUAAAACUCUGUUAUUAGGGAAGAACAAAUGUGUAAGUAACUAUGCACGUCUUGACGGUACCUAAUCAGAAAGCCACGGCUAACUACGUG
rnacentral:rRNA from 1 species